rnacentral:rRNA from 1 species
CAGUAGCCGCGGGAACACGAAGGGGGCUAGCGUUGUUCGGAAUUACUGGGCGUAAAGCGCACGUAGGCGGAUCGAUCAGUCAGGGGUGAAAUCCCAGGGCUCAACCCUGGAACUGCCUUUGAUACUGUCGAUCUGGAGUAUGGAAGAGGUGAGUGGAAUUCCGAGUGUAGAGGUGAAAUUCGUAGAUAUUCGGAGGAACACCAGUGGCGAAGGCGGCUCACUGGUCCAUUACUGACGCUGAGGUGCGAAAGCGUGGGGAGCAAACAGGAUUAGAGACCCCGGUAGUCCCUGUCUCUUAUAC